UACGUAGGGUCCGAGCGUUGUCCGGAAUUAUUGGGCGUAAAGGGCUCGUAGGCGGUUUGUCGCGUCGGGAGUGAAAACCUACAGCUUAACUGUGGGCUUGCUUUCGAUACGGGCAGACUUGAGGCAUGCAGGGGAGAACGGAAUUCCUGGUGUAGCGGUGAAAUUCGUAGAUAUCGGGAGGAACACCGGUGGCGAAGGCGGCGACCUGGGUCGAUACUGACGCUGAUGCGCGAAAGCGUGGGGAGCAAACAGG
rnacentral:rRNA from 1 species